rnacentral:rRNA from 1 species
CCUACGGGGGGCAGCAGUGGGGAAUAUUGGACAAUGGGGGCAACCCUGAUCCAGCCAUGCCGCGUGUGUGAAGAAGGCCCUCGGGUUGUAAAGCACUUUCAGUGAGGAAGAACGCCUGGUGGUUAAUACCCAUCAGGAAAGACAUCACUCACAGAAGAAGCACCGGCUAACUCCGUGCCAGCAGCCGCGGUAAUACGGAGGGUGCGAGCGUUAAUCGGAAUUACUGGGCGUAAAGCGCGCGUAGGUGGCUUGAUAAGCCGGUUGUGAAAGCCCCGGGCUCAACCUGGGAACGGCAUCCGGAACUGUCCAGCUAGAGUGCAGGAGAGGAAGGUAGAAUUCCCGGUGUAGCGGUGAAAUGCGUAGAGAUCGGGAGGAAUACCAGUGGCGAAGGCGGCCUUCUGGACUGACACUGACACUGAGGUGCGAAAGCGUGGGUAGCAAACAGGAUUAGAUACCCUGGUAGUC